UUUGCAGCAAAGUUAGGGUUUAUUGCAGGGUGUCAGGCAAGGGAGCGGGAGACAGCCUCAGAUGCACUGCCACUUGGUCUCUGAGCUGGGGCUGUUUUUAAAGGGGAAGAACCAAGAAGCUGGGGUUUAUCACCUUCUCGUGAUAUCUCCUGCCAUUGCUUCAUUGUAGUUGUAGGGGUUCUGGAUGUUCCCCGCCCCCUUGCCUUCUCUGGCCAGGCGUUCCAUGGCUUGGGGGGUCUGUUAGCUUAUCUUGCUCUGGAGAAGCCAUCUGAGUCCGUAUGUUAAUGAUUAUAUCUACUUUAUCUGCUCCGGGCUCCCCUUCUUGAUAUUUGGGCUUGUCAGCCGGUCUUAAGUAGAUGCCUGGAAGAUUGAGUACCUUGAAAAACAGUUAUUCUUGUGUUUGGGUGAGAAAUCCUUUUCUGGUGAAAUAAAACAUACAGAACGAUGCC
rnacentral:lncRNA from 1 species